rnacentral:rRNA from 1 species
CCUACGGGUGGCAGCAGUGGGGAAUAUUGGACAAUGGGGGCAACCCUGAUCCAGCCAUGCCGCGUGUGUGAAGAAGGCCCUCGGGUUGUAAAGCACUUUCAGUGAGGAAGAACGCCUGGUGGUUAAUACCCAUCAGGAAAGACAUCACUCACAGAAGAAGCACCGGCUAACUCCGUGCCAGCAGCCGCGGUAAUACGGAGGGUGCGAGCGUUAAUCGGAAUUACUGGGCGUAAAGCGCGCGUAGGUGGCUUGAUAAGCCGGUUGUGAAAGCCCCGGGCUCAACCUGGGAACGGCAUCCGGAACUGUCAAUCUAGAGUGCAGGAGAGGAAGGUAGAAUUACCGGUGUAGCGGUGAAAUGCGUAGAGAUCGGGAGGAAUACCAGUGGCGAAGGCGGCCUUCUGGACUGACACUGACACUGAGGUGCGAAAGCGUGGGUAGCAAACAGGAUUAGAUACCCCAGUAGUC